CCCUUAGAUGUUCUGGGCCGCACGCGCGCUACACUGACGGAUUCAACGAGCUUACAACCUUGGCCGAAAGGUCUGGGUAAUCUCCAAAAUCCGUCGUGAUGGGGAUAGAUUAUUGCAAUUAUUAAUCUUCAACGAGGAAUGCCUAGUAAGCGCAGGUCAUCAGCUUGCGUUGAUUACGUCCCUGCCCUUUGUACACACCGCCCGUCGCUCCUACCGAUUGAAUGGUCCGGUGAAGCGUUUGGACUAUGGUUUUCUGAUGGUCCGCCGUUGGAUUACCGUGGGAAGUUCGUUAAACCUUAUCAUUUAGAGGAAGGAGAAGUCGUAACA
rnacentral:rRNA from 1 species